rnacentral:rRNA from 1 species
UUAAGUUGUUUUAACACCCAUGACUGAUUACUCACUGAAGCUAAGCAGGGCUGAGCCUAGUCAGUACCUGAAUGGGAGACCACAAGGGAAAACUAGGUUGCUGUUGGAA